UUUACUGCUGUUGGUGAUGUUUCCUUUCAUCCUUUUGCUAAAGAGUUUUUAUACCAAAAAUAUGAACUUUGCAAAUAUAAUAUAUAUGGACAUUUAGACCUUGUGGAUUAUUAAAGCUUACAAAUAGAUUAUGCUAGGGUCUAAAUGAUUGUAAAACUAUUGUCCUGGCUAAUAGUGUUAUCAAUGAAUUUGGUUCCUACGUGCUCCGACAAAAGAGGCCGGCCUUGCUCCUGCUUGUAAUGACGCUUGUUUUGGUAAUCUAAGUUUGAAUAUCUGGAGAAAAAAACAUGGUGGCACUAGGGGGAAGCUAAUCUUGGAUGUUACAAGUGACAUGGCAGCACUAGAAGUGGGAGGCGGGGCAUGGUUCAAUACUUGGAGAGGGAAGACCACAACUCCAAAGGUCCUUAAAACUGCCCUUCAAGUUCCUGUUGACGUGGAAGGUAUUUUUGGUUUGGCGCCAUUUUUCAAACCCCC